AUUAAGCACUCCGCCUGGGGAGUACGACCGCAAGGUUGAAACUCAAAGGAAUUGACGGGGGCCCGCACAAGCGGUGGAGCAUGUGGUUUAAUUCGAAGCAACGCGAAGAACCUUACCAGGUCUUGACAUCCUUUGACCACUCUAGAGAUAGAGCUUCCCCUUCGGGGGCAAAGUGACAGGUGGUGCAUGGUUGUCGUCAGCUCGUGUCGUGAGAUGUUGGGUUAAGUCCCGCAACGAGCGCAACCCUUAUUGUUAGUUGCCAUCAUUCAGUUGGGCACUCUAGCAAGACUGCCGGUGACAAACCGGAGGAAGGUGGGGAUGACGUCAAAUCAUCAUGCCCCUUAUGACCUGGGCUACACACGUGCUACAAUGGGAAGUACAACGAGUUGCGAAGUCGCGAGGCUAAGCUAAUCUCUUAAAGCUUCUCUCAGUUCGGAUUGCAGGCUGCAACUCGCCUGCAUGAAGCCGGAAUCGCUAGUAAUCGCGGAUCAGCACGCCGCGGUGAAUACGUUCCCGGGCCUUGUACACACCGCCCGUCACACCACGAGAGUUUGUAACACCCGAAGUCGGUGAGGUAACCUUUUGGAGCCAGCCGCCUAAGGUGGGAUAGAUGAUUGGGGUGAAGUCGUAACAAGGUAGCCGUAUCGGAAGGUGCGGCUGGAUCACCUCCUUU
rnacentral:rRNA from 1 species